GACGAACGCUGGCGGCGUGCCUAAUACAUGCAAGUCGAGCGAAGCGGGAACGGGUGAGUAACACGUGGAUAACCUCCUAUAAGUCUGGGAUAACUUCGGGAAACCGGAGCUAAACCGGAUACUAAUAGAUGGAUCCGUGCGGCAUUAGCUAGUUGGUAAGGGAACGGCGUAACAAGGCAACGAUGCAUAGCCGACCUGAGAGGGUGAUCGGGUAAACGGGAACUGGGACACGGUCCAGCCGCCUACGGGAGGCAGCAGUAGGGCAUCUUCCGCAAUGGGCGAAAGCCUGACAGAGCAACGCCGCGUGAGUGAUGAAGGUCUUAGGAUCGUAAAACUCUGUUAUUAGGGAAGCGGUACCUAAUCAGAAAGCCACGGCUAACUACGUGCCAGCAGCCGCGGUAAUAC
rnacentral:rRNA from 1 species